UAUAUUAAACUCCAGCCAAAAGAGGUAAUCAUUACAUAGUAGUUUAUUACUUAGUUCGGUUAGUUAUAGAGAAGAAUAUUUAUAUUGUAUUUCUUGUACUUUAUUUUUAAUAGCAAGCAUUUUAGUGUAUAACGUACACGUGUUAAAUAAGAAGCAGGAAAAAAAGAUUUAAGUGACACAUACGACAGGACUGUACAUUAACUUUUUAAGCCAUUAGAAAUUGUUUGCUAAUAAGACUUGUCAGCUACAAGUAUAGAUAUAAAACCAUUAAAAUGUUUAAACAAUAUUUGAUAAAUAAUUAAAUAGGUUAAGUGUAGUGUACACAUAUCCAAAGAUACUUUGUAUUGGUAUGAAACCCUGAUUUUAGAGACUUUGAAAUUGAGCAUUAUAUCAACGUUGAUAGGCUGAGAAAGAUAAUCAUUUUCUGAUUGGCUGUUAAGUUACUUCCUUUUGUGCUUCUCAAAAUAAAUGGUUUGAUCAUGGUGAAUUUGAGAAAUUAAUAUCUUUGUUUCACCGCGAACAAGUCAAAACUAAAACAGAUACUCAUCAUUAAGCUACUCGCCCCAUCUGAACACACUUUAGCAACUAGUCCAAAUACAUAUCUUAUGUGUCCCAGGUUAACUUUAAUGUCAAGCUCAGUAGGGAAUUGUUGAUGACCUCAAUCUUUAUGGUUUGUAGUAGAUGCAACACUAAAGACCUGUGUGUGUGAAGCAAAGCCCACAGUGUUGUAGACAUUUAGUCUUUAAAUGACUCUAUGCUAAUUAGUAGCAAUUCUUUAAAUAUUAAGGGUUAAAGUAGCUGUCACAGGCAUAAGAGAAAGAAAAUGCUUGAGAACAAAACACAUUUAUUUUGUAGUUUUUAAACAUUAAAGAAUAAACUUCUGUAUUCUGCUUUAAUGCUUUAAACUGGAAAAAGACUUUCAGGGAUAAAACAUGUUUUGGGGCACCACUUGAAACAAAAUGUGUAAAGGUUCGUUAACAGUUUGUUGAAAAGGUGUUUUAUAUGACAAGAAUCUUAAUUACUGUAUUAAAAAUUAAUAACCCAAACAAGAAGAAAAAAACGUUGUUAAUUGAUGGCAAGGGGUUUUGUUAGCAGUAUUUCACCAUCCAUCAUUGUAUACAUUUACAUACAGUCUUAAAAAUCAAAGGUCACAAGUAACAAACACAAAAAACAACAUUUAAUGAAAGAUAGACCACCUAGAAAUUUGGUCACCUAAAUUUUAUAAAGGCUUAUGUGAAUUGUAGACAUACUUAUAAAAUUAACGUGCCAGAAUUAGAUAUGUCACAUAUAAAAAAUAUAUUAACAAUCACGUUUUGUUCUCCAUUAAACAACAUUUAAUGAAAGAUAGACCACCUAGAAAUUUGGUCACCUAAAUUUUAUAAAGGCUUAUGUGAAUUGUAGACAUACUUAUAAAAUUAACGUGCCAGAAUUAGAUAUGUCACAUAUAAAAAAUAUAUUAACAAUCACGUUUUGUUCUCCAUUAAACAACAUUUAAUGAAAGAUAGACCACCUAGAAACUCGGUCCACUAAAAUUUUAUAAAGGCCUAUGUGAAUUGUAGGCAUACUUAUAAAAUUAACGUGGCAGAAUUAGAUAUGUCACAUAUAAAAAAUAUAUUAACAAUCAUGUUUUGUUCUCCAUUAAACAACAUUUAAUGAAAGAUAGACCACCUAGAAACUCGGUCCACUAAAAUUUUAUAAAGGCCUAUGUGAAUUGUAGGCAUACUUAGAAAAUUAAUGUGGCAGAAUUAGAUAUGUCACAUAUAAAAAAUAUAUUAACAAUCAUGUUUUGUUCUCCAGAUUGUACAAUCUUAACAUUAUAAGUUAUAUAAUUCUGAUAAUAAGUGUUUAUAAUCAACAUAUAUUACAGAUUUUUUUUUCUGUUUAAAAUUCAUCCAGAUACUUUUUGUUAUACAAGUUUCAAAAAGAGUAGCAGUGUUGGGUUUGCAUGAUUUAAAGAUUUUAGAGUAACAAUUUUUAGGGUGCAAUUUGGCUCUGUGGUAGAUCUCUAGAUUUUGGAGCUAGUAAGCUGGUUUUCAAUUGGUGUGAAAGCACACAUUCCCCUCACUUUAAGCUGUGUUUUCAUUAUAAAAGUGAUGGUUCUAGCAUGGAUUGUAAGUGAUAGGUUGCUGCUGAUUGGCUGCCUUCCUUCUGGUCACUAGUUCAAAAUUAGGAACAAUGAAGAUAGCUUUAAUACCUUUGCUAUAAAUACAAAUUCAACUUUGUAUUGUUAAAUAGGGACUUUUAACUUCGACUAAUUGUAAGAAACACUGUUGAGCACUAUUUUAUUUGACAGACAGAAGCUAUUGUUCAACUAUACAAAAUAGUGUUUGAUGUGACCUUACAAAGGUUUAGCAUAAUUUUUAAAUGCAAUGAUGAGCUGUUGUGUUAAAGUUAAAUAAAAAAAAAAUAGUUUACUCCAAUCAGAUUACAACUAUAUAUUUUACAAGAAAUGUACAAAGUUUUUUAAAUUUAGAGAUUAAAUUUUUGUGCAAGCCCUUUAAAUAUUUUAAAUCCUCUCUGUAGAUAUAAAUGAACGUAGUUUGAUCCUAGAUCUCAAAAUUUUAUGUUUAUUUUUGUAUUUUUUGUUAUUUCACAAGCUAUUUAAAGAAUUUAUUUAUUUUUAUGUUGUUUAUUUUAUUAACUCUGGAUGAGACAAAUUGUGGUGAUUACAGAAAGGCAGUAAUAUAUUUUAUUGUUUGUCAACUGUACAGAAGUUGCUUCAGCUUUGCAAAGUUCACUGGGUUUUUAGUCGUAUUUACAUGUUAGUUGUUAGGUGAUUUUACUUACCCUAUCGUGAAAAGUAUUAAACUGGUUUUGUUUUAAGCUUGUUAUUUCUGGCUAAUUCUACAGCUUUCACAUGUUAGUUGCCAAAGGACUGUAAGUGCACAAGUGGAAAACUGAAAAGAAAAAGAUUAAAAGUAUUGUUAUUCAUGCUUUUAAUUAAAAUUAAUGUAUUCUUUAAGUGAUAUAACUUAGUGUACAGAAAAGGAAGGUUUUUGUACUGACAAUGAGUCACGUUCAACAGAAAACAACAGUGGCAAAGAUGUAUCUUUUUCAAGAGAUGCAUAAGUGGUAAGUACCCAUGUUUAGUGACCAUGUACAAUUUUAAACUUAUAAGUGGUAGACAAUUAAAUAAAUACUUUGUCUUUGUGUAUAAUUUUAAAAAGUUACAGUGAUUUUUAUAGUCAUAGAAAAAAGAAGAGAAUCAGACUAAAAUAAUCAGUACGUAAACAUUUUGACAAUUAUAUAUAUUUAGGUUUAUUCUAAAGAUUCCAAGCUUACGCUGUAUACUUUUAGAACCAUUUUAUAAAUGAAAUGGUGUGAAAUAUAAUUAUUGUGUCAAAUAGUGGUAUUGUACGUUAUUGAAGAUGCUUGAGAGUUAAGGUGAAAUUGUACAAACAUAAUAUUGUUAGAUAUAUUUUAUGCUGUUAAUAAAUAUGACAGAAACUUACUAUUCAUUUUAUGGCUUACCACUUUUCUAAGUCAGCUUUUUAACUUACAGAACAACACGAGAAUGUGAAUCUGCUCAUUGAAUUGUGAUUUUUAUUUGAACAAACAGAUUUUGGAAAAUAUCAGGGUCAAAGGUCAAGUGAUUGGUCUUUGUUUUUUGGUCAAAGAGUGGCUGUUAUAUUUCAAAAGUUUGUGCCAAACAGAAUAUGCCAUGUUUAGUUCUUAAAUGGCUGUACAUGACAUUUAUGUUUUGAGAGCUUCUUCUGGAGUUAAGUUCUUAUGAUUCAAUUUUUCUUUAUCAAAUUAGCAGCUGUAGGAUCCUUUAAUUUAUAUAAAAAAGACAGACAUAAGAUUAUGAUCACAAACAUAAUGAAAAAAGCAUGCCUGUUUCCACUAUACUAUAGGAUUCAGCUUCACCUUACUAAAAUAUGCUACGUAUUGAUGGUAAAAUUUAAAUGUUUUCCCAUGUAAUGCUGUGAACUAAUUGGCCCUUCACCUAUAAGUAACCAUUUGUUGUACUUGUUGUCUAGUGUUACUAGAAGUUGCAUUCCUUGUUGGUCUUCGCAAUUUUAUAAAAACAAGUUUGUCAUUUUGUAAUAAGACGAAAUUUGAAAAAAAAAUGUUUCAGAAUGUGAAUUUUUAAAUGAUAAACCUCACAAUCUUGGUGCCAGUUUACUGGUUAAGUAAAUGAUUUUGCUAAGAAAGAGAUGCUUUGUUUUUUACAUGAUAUAGUGAGAGUUGCAAUAUUAUAUUGCUGUUUUUAUUGUAAUGUUUUUUCCUUAUAAUCCUAUCCUUGUGUGUUUUAUGUUUCACGAUACUUUUAUUUCAUCAAGUUUUAAAAUGAACCAAAAAUGUCUAGAGUGCUAAACGUUGUUAUUAUUUUACAAUUGUGGUGCAAUCAAGCCAAAAAUAACUCUAGAAAAACACAUAUAAACUGAUUAAAUGUCAUUAUUUUUUGUUAAUUAUGGCAAACAAGUCUGUUUAAGAACAAAACUAAUAGGUAGAUAGUUUUUUUUCUACACGUGCAUUAUGAUGAAAGCUUGACAUAGAGGAAAUUCUAAGUAUGUUCAUUUAACACACUUUUCUGACUAGGAAAAUCCUCUGUUCUUUACAUAAAAGUAAACUAUUUGUAUAAGAAGCUUUUUCCAAAGUAACAGAUAUUUAAGACCAGUUUAAUAAAUAGAUGUCUAAUGUACUUGAACGUUAACCAUAGCGUGUUUGGUAAUUGAACUAUUAUUAAAAUUCAUGGUGAUGUCAUCUAAAUGUGAACAAAUAUAGUAUUUACACUUUUUUUUUGUAUAAUAUCUUGGCAAAUAUUUAUAAUCAACAAAUUUUUCUUCCAAAAAUGUAUAUAUUACCCAGGAAAUAAAUUAAUGUGGAAAUAAUAGAUACUAGUCUGUAUCACAUUCUAUGUUCUAAAAAAACAGUGUAUCUACAAAAAAUUAGUUUUAAAUUCUUAAAAAUAAUUCCAAACUUAUUUAUUUUUCAAUUUACAUAUUGUCAACAAUAGAUUGUUUCACAUACUAAUUGGUUUUAGGCAUAGUAGACAGUGCGUUUAUUUAUGAAUUUUGUAUAAUUUGUAUUUGGAACUUGUUAGGAAAUUAAAAAUUUGCAUAUAACCUUGAUCAAUAGGCUUUUGGUCUGGAUGUUUCAAGUUUUAUUUCAUUUGCUGUGACGAUUUUGAUAAGCUCUGAAGUUUUGAAUGAUCUGAAAUAAUAUAUAUUAAACAACAAUUUUUAAUAAUGCUGCAUAAAGUACAUUGUUUAUUGUAAGGACCAAGUUUAUUAGUACACUUCGCUGUAUUAAAGCAUCUUUGUUUUUAGGAUAAAUAAGGUUUGAAUCUCAAAAUUCAGUUCAGUGUCACAGAAGUCACAUUUCACAAGGUCAGAUUCCUUUAAGCACAAAGUUCUUAAUUUGCCAAGUGCUGUUCUUGUCAUAUGAAUGAAAACUGAUGAACCUGGUGUUUGUAUAAAACAUUAUAAUCUGGUUUAUUGUUGAAAUUAAUCAUAUAUUUCCUCACAAUUUUGAUUUUCUGUGAUACUGAACACAUUUCCUUAAAGGUCCUGUGGUUUAUGUGGGAUUUCAUAAUUGUUGUAGUUUUCCCGAGACAUUUGUUCAGAUAUCAUUGCCUAGAAGAGAGAAUUCUAGUUUCUUCAAACUGCAUUUUGUUUGUUCAAUUUGUCAGUGUUUGUAUUCAUGCAUUCUUUAGGUCACUGUUGUAAAUUUCAUUGUGAAAGAUGUUAUAUUUUAAUAAAUUUUUUCUCGGA